rnacentral:sRNA from 1 species
CUCUUCCGCCGUGUGACUGGCGUUUCCUCCCUAAACUCGGGCCGUCCCUUCGGGGCGGCCCUUCUUUUUUGCCGCC